rnacentral:rRNA from 1 species
UCAAGAAACUUCCACAAUGGGCGAAAGCCUGAUGGAGCGACGUCGCGUGAUGGACGAAGUGCUUCGGCACGUAAACAUCUUUUAUGUGGGAUGAAAUUAUUGACAGUACCACAUGAAUAAGGGGCUCCUAACUCUGUGCCAGCAGGAGCGGUAAUACAGAGGCCCCAAGCGUUAUCCGGAAUCACUGGGCGUAAAGGGUGUCGAGGCGGUUGUAUUAGUCGUUCGUAAAAUCUACGAGCUUAACUUGUAGGCGGCGAACGAAACGGUACGACUUGAGGUUUGGAGAGGUGCGUGGAACUCACGGUGUAGGGUGAAAUCCGUUGAUAUCGUGGGGAACACCGAAGGCGAAGGCAGCGCACUGGCCAAAAUCUGACGCUCACACACGAAAGCUAGGGUAGCGAAGAGGAUUAGAUACCCACGUAGUCCCUGAGCGGGCUGGCAAGGCGCAU